rnacentral:rRNA from 1 species
UACAGAGGUCUCGAGCGUUAGGCGGAAUCACUGGGCUUAAAGCGUGUGUAGGCGGGUCGUUAAGUGCCUUGUGAAAUCCCAUGGCUCAACCAUGGAACUGCUGGGCAUACUGGCGAUCUUGUGCCACCUAGGGGCGAGCGGAACAGAUGGUGGAGCGGUGAAAUGCGUAGAUAUCAGGAGGAACACCGGUGGCGAAGGCGGGUCUCUGGGCCGAUACUGACGCUGAGGAGCGAAAGCGUGGGGAGCGAACAGG